rnacentral:sRNA from 1 species
AUGCCCGUAAAUACUCAAAUUGGAAAGAAACCUGUAAUUGCCCAGUGGAUAUUUCAAAUACACUUAACUUUGCUAUUUCAAGCCACAGACACCAAAUGGACACAAAGGUCAUUCAAACUGUUAGCGCCAUGGACAAAGAUGAUCCCAAAAACGGACAUUAUUUCUUAUACAGUCUCCUUCCAGAAAUGGUCAACAAUCCGAAUUUCACCAUCAAGAAAAAUGAAGGGAUGCCGUAACAAAUAAUCCCAAACUGGAAAGUGUAAAACAACAGAUGCUUAUUCUCUUAGAGUUUCUGGAGGCUGGAAAUCUGAAAUCAAGGUGUGGGCAGGGCCAUGCUCUCCUCAAAAACUCUAGAGGAGAAUCCAUUCUCUGCUUAAGUUUCAUAGAUCACUUGAUGACUCCUGGGUUUUGUAAAGUGAAUAGCACAGCCCACUCUCUGUCCAUUUUCACUCCAAAAUGACAACCAUGCAGAUAUUUACAGAACUCUACUGCUAGAUGGUUACAGUGCAGAAAGAGCCUGCCAAGUGAUUUUCUGUAUUAAAAUGUUCUAAUUCAUUUUGUGUAUAAUUGUAAAUUGUUGGGUAAACAUUCAGUUUGGUGUUAGUCUAGGAACUUCCACAAGAAUCCACCAUGAUGUUGAUUUUUUUUUCCAAAGCCAAAGUGGACCUUGCUCCAAUAUUUUAUGGCUAGAUAUACCACAUUAUUAAACAUUAUAAUAUUUGGCAAUGAGUCAACACUCCAAAAAAAUGGAGAUUAUUGACAUCAGGUGGCAUGACA